ensembl:lncRNA
GAUAAUUAGAAUAGCUGUGAUACUUUAAUUGAGUUGCUAAUACCAGUGCAGGGAUGUUGCAUAAAAGCCUGGUGGCUGGCAGCUUCUCCUUUAGCCCUGCUGAUUGGUAGGGCUGUGGAGCACGUGUGUGUGCUGGGUGUCUGCCCCCUUCCUUUCAGCUUUCCCUCCCAAAUACAGCCCCUUCUUGGCUCCAUUGUAAUGCUGUGCAGUUGUGUGUAUGUUCUCUGAGAGCAACUCCAUGCGUUCCUUCUUUUCCUCUCCCUUAUCUUGAGCUCUCAGCCUGCAUGGGCACGGGUGCAAGAGUUUGGUUCCUGUAUAUUUGUUGAACUUUGCCUUGCUGCAGUGGCAAUCCUUUUUACUUACUGAAUCCUUGUAGCAGCUUCUUGAAGCUUAUCAAAAUGAGGGGACAUCAGGUUCACUGAAUCCAUCGUUUCCUUCAUCUGAAGUUGUACUGAAAUCAUAGAAUCAGAACAUCCUAAAGGUUGGAAGAGGUCCAUAAGGAUCAUCGAGUCCAUCUCCUGGCCCACCACAGGACCACCCAAAGACCAGACCAUAUGGCAGACAGCACUGAAAAUGACUGUCCUCAGCCAACUGCUCAGUGCAACCUCUAUGGAGGCCUUCUUUCUUGAGCAUUUUUCUUCGAAAGGCUUUGCGAUAGUAUGAAAAGUUGGAGGCUGAGAUCUUCAGCGUUCGAAUCAAACAGAUGUUAAUGGUUUUUCACUUUCCCGGAAGAUCUGGCUUUUAACACGUUUUGGUUACUGGAACUGUUUUCAAGGAGAACGUCACGCCAGGAGCCUCCAGAGUGCUCUGUGUUUGUUACCAAGCUUUUGCAACUGUACUGAUUUGAAGGAUGACGUGGUGUUUGCUCGUGGUCCCAAUUAGAGGCUCUUUAGAGCAAAAUCCAGAGCAAUUUCUGGAUGUCGUUGACCAUGAUAGCUGAUUUUCUAAUCAUGGCUAAGCUGCUCUUCGUUCUGAAGUGAGCAUUGUUGCACCCUGACUGAAGCUGUGUUGCUCUGCAAAGGUGCUACCAGAGGGCAGCCACAGCGAGGCUGGGACAGAGGGCCGAUCAAAUGCUGCUCCUGCACUUCUGUCUCUGUCCCUAAACAGUGCCCCUCUCAAUGUCUUACAGCUACGGAUUUGGUAUCAGCUCAGAUGACUGGAAAUAGCUGCUGUUUUUUCCCAAUGUCCAGAUGUGCUGUUUUUUUUUUUAAACAUCGAAUUGUGCUUUAAAAACGUGGUCAUAUGACAGAGAUUACAGUUGUUAAGUAUUCACGUAUCAAGGAUUUCUAUUUUUGAAGAGGCAAACAACUCCAUUAUAGUUUGCAAUCUAUAUAUAAGAACUUACAGUGAAAAGCACGUACCAGAAAUAACCAAGAUGGGCUGAACCUUUAAGUUCCAAACUAUUUUCCUGAGCAAUGAGAAUAUUUUAUGAAACCUAAAGGAAUCUGCUUCCUGGAAAACCUCCCUCUGAAACAGCCCUGAGCUGCCCUGACGGCCAAGAACAAGAGUUUGGAUGCUUUGGAGCCCUCCUGUUAGAGGAAAUAGAUUUUUGAUGGGGGAUUGAAAUAGAUUUUUAAUGGGGGAAAAGGCUGCCACAAACAUAAGGCUGAAAGGGGGGUAAAAUGGCACGUUGUGUCCGUGCACGGAAUUAUGGACAGUUAUUGAAGGGAAGAUGUACCACAGUUUGGAGCUUUUAGAGUAUUUAAGGCUUAUGUCAUAAGGAUGCCUGAAGCACUACAGUAAUUGAAGUAUUCAAAUCUGCUGAAUGAAUACCAGCUAAACCGUUUUCUUUAGAUAACAUGACUUGAAGCUGCAGAACUGUCAGUGUAUCUCAUAUGCUGCAAUUGUUUGCCUUUUAUUUGUGUGUGAUUCACUACUUUUACUAAUUGUUAGAGCUGUAACGCAUCAGUAUCAUUAAUAACUAAUGACAGCAUGAUCUCACUACAUCUGCAACUAACAGGGUCACUUGGCGUGUCAGCUGUGUCACAGCCCCCAUCAGCACUGGGAUGUGGUGCUCCCAGCAGUCCCCAUUCUCCUUCCUGAUGCUGUACGCACGCCAGGUCUGAGGAUACAGGCUAACAAAUUGGGUUUUAAGCUCCUUUUGAUUGCAGCAUUGCACGCUGCUCCCAGAUCUGCAGGACUGAGCAU